CAGCAACAAAGGGUGCCGGGAGGUGACCUCUAUAUUUGCACCUUCAGCUGGCAGCUGCAAUUAUUACAGAAGGAAGCAACAUGGGUAUGCUUUUGCUUUUCUAGCAGUGGACAGUCCCAUCAAUGACUAACUCUGCUAUGUUGGACAGCCUGCAGGACGCAAAAUGAAUGUAGCGCGGACAGAGAAGCAUGGAGGAGCAACAGGGUGCACACAGGAAAUCUUCAGCUGUCUGGGUUCC
rnacentral:lncRNA from 1 species